CCACAAUGUCAGAAUUUCAGCUUAGGGGGGCUUGCAACCAAGUGUCCAAUUUUCCUAGAAUUUAUCUUUACCUUUCUUCUUUUUCCCUGUAUGUUCACCUCUUAGCUCUUCAGGAAUGCAAUUGUAACGUUUACCUCCUCUCCACCAGGCGCUCUCUGCACUGCAAGCGUAUCUAACUAUAGUUCGAUUUGCUUAGAAAUUCUCAGGACAAAAUGUUGAACCAAACCAGGCACCCUCCGGGAUUCUCCCCCACCAGGAGAUUGGCUCGAGACAACAGUUUACAGCUUAGCUCUGUCCACCAUGGCGUCCUCCAGACUACCCAACUGAGAAGACACAGAAGCAAGUCAGACCUCUCUCUGUUCAUUGGAUUCUGCAAGAGGCUGGACAUGGGUUCAGUUACGGCCUGACUCAAGAGCCCGUCUCCAACCUCCAUGCUGCACAGGAAGGGAAGAAUGUGACAUGGACUCAUUCUCAACCCAGGACCUGGUGACAAUUCAGUCUAUGGCCUUGGAGACCCUGUCUGCAGGCACGGACGGUGCCAUUAGGCUGGAAAAGGUUGGAACAGAGGGAACCCAGGGGCUGAGGGAAGAAGGACAAAGUCAGGAGGCUUGGAGAGGAGGUCCAGGUGAUGGUCGAGGCCUCUGCUUGGUUUCCCCAGGAAUGGUGACUCUGGGCAGAUGGAACAGCCUCAGCCAAGGCCAUUCAGAGGAUCACAAGGAGCAUGGCUGUCGCGGCACAAGAUGCUCCCGGCAGGGGUGAGUAUGGAGAGGCAGCAGCCACAAGGCCUUCAUCUGCCAGAAAGUGUCUGGACCUGAUCCCGAGGCUGUGGGGAGUCGACAUAGAAGAUCGUUCCUAAUUCUCAUAGCGGCAAGAUUAGGGCUGCAGGGUACUGAUUCUCUCUUCUGCGCCGGGCACCGUGCCAAGCACUUCCCAUGCAUGUGUAGCCUCAGUUCUCUCAGCAGCCUCAGGGGUGGGGACCACUAGUCCCUGCAACUUGCUGAUGAGGAAACUGAGGCUCAGAGAGACAAUGUCACUAGCCCAAAACUGCGUAUCUAGCUAGCAGUGGAGCUUGGCCUGGGCUGCUGACCACAGGGCCACACAGCCAGCCCCUCUCGUCCAGGGUAGUGGCCUGGGCAGGCUGGGGAGCAGCAGGCUGCCCUGCUGGCCCUAGUGGCCCUGGUGAGAGAGGAGCUGAGCCUGAAACCGGAAGCAGGGCCCACGGGGUGAGGAGGGUCUGCAGCUGGCAGGCCUGGUGGGCUGGUACCUGCAACCUAAGUGGGAAGGUAACAGAGCACCUGGCAAUUUGAAUAACAAUGAAAGCUUCCAGAAUGCAGACCCUCUGUGACAAUAACCCUUCCUGCAGACAAAAGCAGAGGAGUCAUGAGGCACAACACGCCUCAUCCCAGGUGAACUGGAGACAAUGUGUUCCCCAGCAGCGGCAGUGGCUUCUGUUAGUUGGCGCUGACUGUAUGCACGUGGGGUAUGGGGCUGGGAGCCUUCACGUAUUUUUUUUUUUGAGAUGGAGUCUCUGUCACCCAGGCAAUGGCGCGAUCUUGGCUCACUGCAAUCUCUGCCACCCGAGUUCAAGCGAUUCUCCUGCCUCAGCCUCCCAAGUAGUAGGGAUUACAGGCACCCAACACCAUGCCCAGCUAGUUUUUUUAUUUUUAGUAGAGACAGGGUUUCACCAUGUUGGUCAGGCUGGUCUCAAACUCCUGACCUCAGGUGAUCCACCCGCCUCGGCCUCCCAAAGUGCUGGGAUUACAGACAUGAGCCACCGUGCCCGGCCGCCUUCAUAAAUUUUUCUAAGGGAUUCUCACAGGGACCAGAAAGGGGGAGAUGCUAUUAAUCCUACUUUGUAAAUGUGUCCCUGCAAACAGUACAGGGACAUCAAGGAACCUAUUUGGGGCAAGAUGGCCAUCCCAAGGAACGCUACCUCAAUACGGAGAAAGAGACUCUGCUGACACGAUAGAGUUGAGGGUUUUGGCAGAGGGAGAUGAGGCUGGAUUAACUGGCUAGGCCUGAUGCCAUCACAGGGUCCUAAGUGAGAAAGGCAGGAGGCUCAGAGUCAGCAGAGGGGAUGUGGCCACGGGAGCAGAGGUCGGAGAGAUGUCCUUGCAUCUGGAAGGGGCCAAAAGCCGAGGAAUGUGGGUGCCUCUGGGAACUGGAGCAGGCAAGGAAAUGGACUCACCCCCGCAGCCUCCAGCAGGGCCCCGUGCUGCUGAUGCCUUGACAUGAGGUGUUCAUGAGUCUCCUUUCCAACUGCUGUCCUCCGGAUCUGUACAAGACUAAAUCUAUGUUGUUUUAAGCUACUGCAUUUAUGAUAGUUUAUUACAGCAGCUACGGGACACUCAUAUAAUACCCAAGAGAGAUGUGUGCAUUCAUUUCACCAGGAGACCUGGAUGCGAAGGUUCACAGCAGCUUUACUGAUGACGGUUAGAAGGUGGAAAUAACUGAAGUUUCCUCAAAAGGUGAUGGAGGAACAUGGCGUGGUACGUCCACACGAUGCAAUGGGCACAGAUCCAGGCUGAUAACUAUCACUGGGCACAGAUCCAGGCUGGGGCCAAGAUGGGAACCUUUAUCUUUUGCUUCCUGGCCAGAGUGCUCUGCCCCAGCACCUGCCUUGUCAAAGCCCUGGUGGACCCGUGGGAUCGCCCAGUUCUUGCACCUUCACUGGGAGGAAAGCAGAGACGAUGACUCCAUUUUACAGUUGGGUAAAGUGAGGCUCAGGGCCAUGCUGCCCAGGGAGGAGCUGAAGAGAGACCCGAGGCCUGCUGGGGACCAGAUCUUCUCAAUGGUGGUUCCUUUUGGUAUCCUCUCUACAAGCCCAGUGCAGAGCCUGGCACGUGGGAGAGCUUUAUGGGAGUUUGCUGAAUAAAUGGCAGAGAGCAGGUGUGGUGUGAGCUCUGGUGGCUGGACUCACCUUCCCAUCCCCUGCAGACCUGUCCUCCUGACAGGGUCCAAUGUGCAAGGGUUUGGGGCACAGUUGGAGUGUCCUGACGGAUGUAGUCACUCUCAGGGGAUGUCAGUCCACGGACACAGAUGCAGCAAGGUCCCUGGAGCCCUGCCGGCCUCCCUGCAUACCCUCUGCGCUCUGAGGAAUGCUCUCUGCCGGGAUGGGGCACCUCGGGCAUGGCAUGGGAGGCCUCUAAUGUGGCCCAAGAUGUUUAAACAGAGUCCUACAGGCCCCAGCCUGAAUUGGGCCCUUGGACGAGGUCCCCAACACACACACACCAGAGCCCCAGCAAUUCACAAGCCGUGUGACCUUGGACGACGUCCCCAACACACACACCAGAGCCCCCAACACACACACACACACCAGAGCCCCCAAAACACACACACCAGACCCCAACACACACACCAGACUGUUGACUUUUUCCUUCUGCCCUCAGUCCCCCCAUCUGUAAAAUGUGGCUGCUCACAGCCCCCUACUCUGAUUCUACAUUGAGGCCUGUAGUAUGCAGCCCUAAGACAGCCUCCAAAGAAUCCACCUGCAGCUACUCACACCCUCCUUUGGUACCCAAAGGAGAACAAAGGAUAGGGACAGAACCAAGUGGCUCACUUGUAACAAAUGGAUAGAAUAGAAGUGACAGGCAUGGGAUGUCCCUUCCAAGGUUAGGCUCCAAAAAAGUGGGUUCCACUGGGCUCUGCACCUUGAACUCUCUCUCCCAGAGCCCUCUUUUUGGGUGGUCAGCUGUCAUGCCAUGAGCUACCCUGCGGAGAGGCCCACCCAGUGAGCAACUGACACCGCCAGCCAACACGUGAACCUACUACCAGCCACCUGAGUGAGCUGGGAAGUGUAUCCUCUCCAGCAGAGCCUUGAGAAUGACCACAGUCUCAGCCAAUGCUUUGACUGCAGCCUCCUGAGAGAGCCCAAGCCAGGAGACCCAACAAAGCCACACCAUGACUUACACCUUUCUGACUCACAGAAAGGGUUAAACGCUUGUUUUAAGCUGCUGACUUGUGGGGUACCUUGUUACACAGCACCAGCUAGCUAAUACAAAGCCUCAGGGCAGUGCUAGAGAUUCUGGGAGAGGGAGGAUCUUGGAGAUUGUGCAUCUGGACAUCCCUCUACUCUACCCUCAGGGAACGAGCCUCUGACCUUGGCCUGCACACCCCAGUGAUGGGGAGCUCCCUGCUUACUGAGGCCAGCAAAUCUGCUGUGGAGCCAGGCUGCCUGGGAAGGUCUUCCCUCUGCCUCCUGCUUCCUCUUCCUACUGGUGCCAGCAUGGCUCUGGGGGUUCCCUGGCACCAGCCCCAUCCUUCAGGGAUGUGUGGGUUCCCCCAGAGUGAGCUGGCGUCUGGAUCAGGCUUCUCUGCAUCACAGUUUCAUCCCCUUUUCUGCUUUUUUCUGCUUCAGGGGAGAGUUGUUGGGAGGCAAGUGAGGGCUCGGGCCCAGCCCUGCCAUUCAGUGUGCACCUGGCAGAGAGGACCCCAGGAUGCACCAAUCUUCACUCAGCCUUAGCUCAAAGUCACCAUCUCCACCCGCCUCAGUUUACUCAUCUGCUACAUGGAGAUUUCUGUGAGGACAUGAAACACUGCAUGUAACAACACUUGGCACACAGAAAGCACUCAAGAAAUGUAUGUCUAUUGAGUCGGGAGAAAACAUAUUCAAAGCGGGGCCGCGGAGAUGCUUGAGGGAAUUUUUACUUUGUCUUUAGCAAAAUAUCUUGCUGGGCCAUCUAGAUGGAUGCAGAUGGGGAGGGGACGAGGCAGUGGGGGUGUGUGUGUGUUUCUUGGGGGGGCUCUGUCUGUUGGGGGG
rnacentral:lncRNA from 1 species